rnacentral:rRNA from 1 species
UUUUGGACAAUGGGCGCAAGCCUGAUCCAGCAAUGCCGCGUGAGUGAAGAAGGCCUUCGGGUUGUAAAGCUCUUUUGUCAGGGAAGAAACGGUGAGCUCUAAUACAGUUUGCUAAUGACGGUACCUGAAGAAUAAGCACCGGCUAACUACGUGCCAGCAGCCGCGGUAAUACGUAGGGUGCAAGCGUUAAUCGGAAUUACUGGGCGUAAAGCGUGCGCAGGCGGUUAUGUAAGUCAGAUGUGAAAUCCCCGGGCUCAACCUGGGAAUGGCAUUUGAGACUGCAUGGCUAGAGUGUGUCAGAGGGGGGUAGAAUUCCACGUGUAGCAGUGAAAUGCGUAGAGAUGUGGAGGAAUACCGAUGGCGAAGGCAGCCCCCUGGGAUAACACUGACGCUCAUCACGAAA